rnacentral:rRNA from 1 species
UACGUAGGGUGCGAGCGUUAAUCGGAAUUACUGGGCGUAAAGCGUGCGCAGGCGGCGCGUUAAGACAGGUGUGAAAGCCCCGAGCUUAACUUGGGAAUUGCGCUUGUGACUGGCGUGCUGGAGUGUGGCAGAGGGAGGUGGAAUUCCACGUGUAGCAGUGAAAUGCGUAGAUAUCUGGAGGAACACCGGUGGCGAAGGCGGCAUCCUGGACCGGUAUUGACGCUGAGGCGCGAAAGCUAGGGGAGCAAACGGG